CAGCAAUUUUAUGCAGAAAAAAUAUUCACAUACAAAGCAAAGCCAGAAUCAUCUGGCACAUAGCUCACAGGGACAGAUGGUGCCACCUGCAUUCUCGGGCAAGAAUAGUCCCAGCCAGCCUUGUGGAGGAGGUUUGCAGAGGCUGCAGCUCUCCAUCUGGAUCAUGAGAGCCUCAUUCCAGCCCACAGCAUGCCCACACCCAUCCCUCCCCUGAGUGCAGGAGUGUUCCCUGUUCUCCCGGUGACUGGCCGAAGGAAAUGGAAAUGGAAAUGGAAAUGGAAAAGGAAAAGGAAAAGGAAAAGGAAAAGGAAAAGGAAAAGGAAAAGGAAAAGGAAAAGGAAAAGGAAAAGGAAAAGAGCCUAGUCAAAAAAAAGCACUUGUAAAAGGCCAAGUUUCCUAUUUUAACAGAACACAUGAAGGAAGAAUUUGUAUGAUAUGGAACAUGCAGUGUGUUCUUGCAAGGAAAGAUGAUACACGUUAUGCCAGCUUACUGAAGAAUUACUUGGCAGAUGGAGAAGAAACAGCAAAACCCAUAAGACCCAGCUCAAACUUUGGAUGAUCUCGCAGCUAAUUGCACUGCAGCUGUCCAGCAGCGGGCCUUGGAACAUGUUGAGCCACUUCUUCACACCGCCAGAAACAUUAAUUUCUUAGCCAUGCUUGGAAGUUUGGAUAUUUGUAGCAAUUCUUGAAACUAAGAGCAGGCCAGAAUUCCCCCAUAUUCUCUCAUUUCUUCCCAAUUCACUUGACAACCAGACAACACAGUGCAGCUGGACAAUAUUUAAAUACCUCUUUCUUAUGCCAUUUGUACAUUUUCUCUGACAUACUCUCCUGCCACCCCUGACACAUCAAAUGGAAAGUAGGAUUCAGCUAACAGAACUGAGAAAACUUUCUCUUUCUUGUAAUUUUUUUUCUUUCUGUGUUCAUAAGUGUGAUGGAGCAAGACCUGCUGUCCCACUUGCCUCCUUCCUGUCAAAGACACAGCAACCAGAGAUAGCUCAGGGAUCAUUCUGCAUUAGCUCAAGUCUACACAGUGUUGUUUUGAUGAUGUUGAAAAUAGACCGACCAGACCAGACCUCUCUGCCAUUUGCACAGUCUGGGCAGAGAUACAAGCUGGUCUGCUUGAGUGGUCAGUACCAGUGCGGGCUAACAGAAAGCUCCUGCUUCAGUUAUAUGAUCAGCAAAUUUCACUCACACCUUUGGCAGAUGUGUGAGCAGUAGGCCACCGACCAAUGUUUUGCAGUCUGUAUUCAGAGACAUGGUAUUGCGUUAACUUUGUCACUAACGUGGCUUCACACUGCGUGCUUUACUUGUGCUUGAGUUGGGACUGAGAAUGCUACCCACAACACUGACCAAACUAUCCAACACAGCCACCUGCACUGCAAUGGGACUACUGAAAUUUCUGUUCUUUUCUUCCAUCCCAUUCAGUUCUGAAUAGUUUCUAUCAUGCUUCUGAGCAUUAGCAGAUAAUGGAUACCUUUCCAAGGAGUGUACUUUUUCAGCAUCAAUGUCUUUAAUAUGUUAAAUUCUAUAUAUUAAUCUUAAAUUAAUAUGUUAAAUAGCCCCGAUCAAGCAUCAUUUUCCAAAAACUCUCUGUUUACUUUCCUUGUACUCUGUGUCACUAAUCACAAAAACCAAGUGUUUAGAAGAGGAGUAAGAUAUGUAAGAGGUGUAGAUAAUGUCUGAAUGUCCAAAUGAAAGCCUCUCUUGGAAACUUAAGUUCAAGUUACACUUAAUAAACUGUUUUAUAUCCUUUGGUCAUUUCAGAUGGAUGGGGCAAUGGAAAAACUGAAUUUGUGAGAAUUUUAUGUAAUUAAUAUCUCCCUACUUCAGUGUACUUCUCUUUUAGACCUUACUGAAUUCUGUUGUCUACAAGAACAACACAGUUAUUUUUCAUUUCUUUUGGCAUGGAAAUUCAAGAAGGAAGUUCUGCUCUCUGGGACAGACACUUAGGCUGUGUCCUUCUUUGUACUGAGUUCAGCUCCUCCAAAUUCAGUAAGCCCUAGCGCUAAGUAUUUCUCUUCAAAAGUUCAUUCUUGAGCACAUGAUCUCAUGUGGCAGGUGUGUUUUAGUUCCUUUUAGUGACUGAGUCACUUUUAGUAUAGCAUACAUAUGGAGAGGUACAGUAAGAGUUACAAUAUUUGUGUCCAUUUCUAUAAACACUCCAUUAUGUUUCUAAAUUGUAUGUGAUAUGGAUCCUUUUCACUCCUCCCAUACCAUAAUGAAAAAAAUGUGGUGCCUUUACUUGAAAAAAAAUGUUAGCAAAAUUUAAGUAAUGGGUAAUAUAUCUGGGUAGAUCUCAGGCCUAGUUACACAAUGAUUACUUAUUAAUAAACUACAUUAGUUUUAUAAACAUCCUAACUAUGUUAUGGCAAGGAUGACCACUUUCCCCACAUGACAAAAGUCGUUUCCCACAUGACAAAAGAGAUCUGGCAAGUGCAGUGGAAAAUGUGUGUUGGUAGUAUGAGGUGAUAAGGGUUUUCCUACCUAUCUAGUGUAAUGGUAUCCAGUCACUUCUUUUAGGAGCGUUAAUGGCCAUUAGAUCCAUUCCUACACUGAUUUCACUCUAAUCCUUCAGUUCAUAUGUCUGAAUUCCACCUUAAUGAAAAAUACACUGGAAAAGUAAGACAAAACUAUGAGUGAUACUGUGAGACUUAAAAAUAGAGAACCUUCACCAAUACAGUGCAUAGCUCCAUGUCAUGAGAAAAAGUACGUUCAUUCCCUCCUGAAGCAUAUCACUUUUCUAUUACUCUGCUUGUGUUUUUUAUAUAGAUAGCAGUAGCAGUGAGAUGUAUUUUGUGUUGCUUUUGCUUUUUUUUUUCAGACUAAUUCAGAAGAAAUUUGAACAAAUUAGGAUUGUGGUUCUUCAAUGACAGCUCAGUGCAGCUCAUUAGACUGCAGGAUAUACUCAGGAACUCACUGUUGAUUAAAGCCAAUAUCAAAUAAAUUUAAAAUUAUUCUAAAAUAUCAUUACCUUUCUCAUUUCCAUAAGGAGUUUUAUGAAAAAAAUGGAAACAGAAAAUGCAAUAUAAACAUAAACACAGCUCCAAAUAAAAG
ensembl:lncRNA